rnacentral:rRNA from 1 species
UGGCGGCAGGCCUAACACAUGCAAGUCGAGCGGUAACAUUUCUAGCUUGCUAGAAGAUGACGAGCGGCGGACGGGUGAGUAACGCGUAGAAAUCUACCUAGUAGUGGGGGAUAGCCCAGAGAAAUUUGGAUUAAUACCGCAUACGCCCUACGGGGGAAAGCGGGGGAGUCUUCGGACCUCGUGCUAUUAGAUGAGUCUGCGUCGGAUUAGCUUGUUGGUGAGGUAAUGGCUCACCAAGGCGACGAUCCGUAGCUGGUCUGAGAGGAUGACCAGCCACACUGGAACUGAGACACGGUCCAGACUCCUACGGGAGGCAGCAGUGGGGAAUAUUGCACAAUGGGCGCAAGCCUGAUGCAGCCAUGCCGCGUGUGUGAAGAAGGCCUUAGGGUUGUAAAGCACUUUCAGCAGUGAGGAAAGGGGUGUCGUUAAUAGCGCCAUCCUGUGACGUUAACUGCAGAAGAAGGACCGGCUAACUCCGUG